GAUGAACGCUGGCGGCGUGCCUAAUACAUGCAAGUCGAGCGAACGGACGAGAAGCUUGCUUCUCUGAUGUUAGCGGCGGACGGGUGAGUAACACGUGGAUAACCUACCUAUAAGACUGGGAUAACUUCGGGAAACCGGAGCUAAUACCGGAUAAUAUUUUGAACCGCAUGGUUCAAAAGUGAAAGACGGUCUUGCUGUCACUUAUAGAUGGAUCCGCGCUGCAUUAGCUAGUUGGUAAGGUAACGGCUUACCAAGGCAACGAUGCAUAGCCGACCUGAGAGGGGUUCCCCCCCCACUGACCCCGGGACCCUCUCCAGCCCCCUGCGGGAGCCAGCAGUGGGAAAUUUCCCGAAAGGGGCGAACCCCUGAGGGAGCACCGCCGCGUGAGGGAUGAGGUUCUUCGGUCCUAAAAACUCUUUUUUUGGGAAAAAAAAUUUUUUUAAGUAACUGCCCCUCUCUUGGCGUUCCCUAAUCAAAAGCCCCCGGCUACCUCCG
rnacentral:rRNA from 1 species